ACUGCUUCGUCUGACUUGGCUCCCUCGGCGGUCGAGCACGUGGACGUCAUCGAGUGCUUGCCCAAGAAGUGCGCUAUCGCUACCAAAUGCGAUUACCUCGGCGUGUCCCACUUCAAGCUACAGCAUGCCAGUCACCCCGAUGCCCUGUCCUUUGAUCAGCCAAUCAUCGACAACUCUCGGUCUGUGACGUCAGCAGCCGACGGUAUAAAUGUCCAGUGCGUGGAUCGACUCUUCAGUGGGCUAGGCUGCAGCGGCACCGGCACCAUGUUUAAUCGCUGCUUGCUCUUCAUGCAGGAUCGCCGCCAUUUUUACGUGCCAGGACUUUCCCAGAGAAGAAGAAACUGAUCGACAUGGCCAUGAGCGACAUCAGGACGUUGGAAGAAGAAUGCAUCAGACUAAAUGACUGCUUGUACACUGCGCGUUCUAAAAACGAGUACCUUGCAAUGCCAGAGGAAUCAUUCAGGCAUUCGGAGCCUAAGGUAGCUUACUACACAGGGAUGGCAAGUUUAACAGUGCUGCUCGCGGUUUUCAAACUGCUGGAACCAUUUUAGCCCAUGGUGUCAACAACAGCUCGGCAAAAUUUCAAGAGUUGUUCCUUUUCCUUAUGAAGAUCAAGUUAAAUCUUCAAAAUGCUGACCUCGCCUUCAUAUUCAAUGUGUCCGAAUCAACUGUUUAUAGGAUUUUCGACAAGUGGCUUCAUGUUGCAUACUGCCGUUUGGAGUCUCAAAUUCCGUGGCCUGAACGAAGUCCCUCCAGCGUACCAUGCCGCAAGCUUUCUGCGAUUCAUUUGUCAGCGAUGCGGCAGUCAUCGCUGACUGCUUUGAGGUUAAAAUCGAAAGGCCAUCAUCAUAUUUGCCAAGGAGUGAAACUUGGUGGACACACAAGGGAAGCCACAGUGCAAUGUAUUUGAUAGGAAUUGCGCCACAGUGUUAUCACGUUUAACUCUGAAGGCUGGGGUGGUCGUGUAAGCGACAAGCACAUCACGGAGCACUGCGGGCUACUGGACAACUUUCUUCCUGGUGACGUUGUCCUUGCUGAUGGAGGUUUUAUCAUAGCUGACAGCGUGGAUUUCUACUGUGCUCGCCUACAUCUGCCAGUUUACACUGAAGGCAAAAGGCAGCUAUCGGCAGCAGACGUAGAAAAUACAAGGCUUGCAAAUGUGAGGAUUCACGUGGAGAGGGUAAUUGGACUUAUUAGAAGCAAAGUUUUGCUGCUUAAGUGUGUUGUACCAGUCGACUAUGUGACAUGCCGACAAGGUGAUAACCCCAUUCCACUGGACAAAAUAGUGACUGUCUGCUGUGCGCUGUCAAAUUUGCGCCCCUCCAUUGUCGCAGCGUUGAAGGAGUCAAGCAUAGAGCACAUGCCUGUAGGUGUUGACGAGUGUCCAUCAUAGCUUGUGAUUUAUGCACAAGAUAAAAAAAUGGGAUGAUGGACAAAAGUUAGCGGGGUGCAGAUUCGUCGAAAAUAAUUCAUUUCUGCCUCCUCUCACUAGUCAUUCAAUUGGCAUUUGUUCAGGGGUGGAGCGUGCAUGACCCCUCAUGCUUCAUUUCUGGUGGUGUAUAUGGUUGUUCCGUGUCCUGUAUCCAUGUUUAUUUUUCAUCAGCCGCAAAUCAGGUACUUGCGGAUUAAUUUCAGCAGUUGCCGUAGCUGACAGAUGUUUUCCUUACGUGUUUGCUUUAUUUUAUGUUUGUAUGAAACCACUUCAUCCUCAAACACUGCCAUGUGUAGUUAAUACGUAAAAGCUUCGAAUUCAAGAGGUUGCACUCAGACAGGUAGGCACGCAAGGUGGUGCAAGACUUUAAACUUUAUCGUACAGACUUAGCGUCAACUGAAAUAUUCGGUGGCGCCAAUUGAGAUUGGCAUGGUUGCAACCCUCUGGUAUGCUACAUUUAACUUUUGAACAGUAUUUACAAGCUUUAAAGGUUAAUAAAAACCUUUUUGAAGUUGAGAGCAAACAUCAUUGCUCGUCUGUUACAUACUUGCGCUGUUCGACGCUACCUGCAGUUGCAGAAUAAAUGACCAGCUCUUUGAUGACAGGAAGUGAAUGGCUGCCAUCCCACAUAUUUGCUUAUUUAAGCUGCAAGUUCAUAAAGUUUGCAGAAUGAAGUUUUGACCUACCAGUACGGUUAGCCUUGCAAAAAUCUGCCAUCUGUAGCUGCAGCGUAGCGACAUAUAAAACACUUGAAAGUCUCUACGACUACAACUA